rnacentral:rRNA from 1 species
AGCGAACGCUGGCGGCAGGCUUAACACAUGCAAGUCGAACGGGCAUCUUCGGAAGUCGGUGCCAGACGGGUGAGUAACACGGGGGAAGGUGCCCGUCGGUUCGGAAUAACUCAGGGAAACUUGAGCUAAUACCAGAUACGCCCAUUUGGGGAAAGAUUUACUGCCGAAGGAUCGGCCCGCGUCUGAUUGGCUUGUUGGUGGGGUAACGGCCUACCAAGGCGACGAUCAGUAGCUGGUCUGUGAGGAUGUGCAGCCACACUGGGACUGAGACACGGCCCAGACUCCUACGGGAGGCAGCAGUGGGGAAUAUUGGACAAUGGGCGCAAGGCUGAUCCAGCCAUGCCGCGUGAGUGAUGAAGGCCUUAGGGUUGUAAAGCUCUUUUGUCCGGGACGAUAAUGACGGUACCGGAAGAAUAAGCCCCGGCUAACUUCGUG